UACGUAUGGUGCAAGCGUUAUCCGGAUUUACUGGGUGUAAAGGGAGCGUAGACGGCAUAGCAAGUCUGAAGUGAAAGCCCGCGGCUCAACUGCGGGACUGCUUUGGAAACUGUACUGCUAGAGUGCUGGAGAGGUAAGCGGAAUUCCUAGUGUAGCGGUGAAAUGCGUAGAUAUUAGGAGGAACACCAGUGGCGAAGGCGGCUUACUGGACAGUAACUGACGUUGAGACUCGAAAGCGUGGGGAGCAAACAGG
rnacentral:rRNA from 1 species